AUUGAACGCUGGCGGCAUGCCUUACACAUGCAAGUCGAACGGCAGCGGGGGAGAAGCUUGCUUUUCCUGCCGGCGAGUGGCGAACGGGUGAGUAAUACAUCGGAACGUGCCCUGUAGUGGGGGAUAACUAGUCGAAAGAUUAGCUAAUACCGCAUACGACCUGAGGGUGAAAGUGGGGACCGCAAGGCCUCAUGCUAUAGGAGCGGCCGAUGUCUGAUUAGCUAGUUGGUGGGGUAAAGGCCUACCAAGGCGACGAUCAGUAGCUGGUCUGAGAGGACGAUCAGCCACACUGGGACUGAGACACGGCCCAGACUCCGACGGGGGGCAGCAGUGGGGAAUUUUGGACAAUGGGCGAAAGCCUGAUCCAGCAAUGCCGCGUGUGUGAAGAAGGCCUUCGGGUUGUAAAGCACUUUUGUCCGGAAAGAAAUGGCUCUGGUUAAUACCUGGGGUCGAUGACGGUACCGGAAGAAUAAGGACCGGCUAACUACGUGCCAGCCGCCGCCGUAA
rnacentral:rRNA from 1 species